rnacentral:misc_RNA from 1 species
UCUCCGUUGGUGAACCAGCGGAGGGAUCAUUAUCGAGUUAUUCAACUCCCAAACCCUAUGUGAACUUACCACUUGUUGCUUCGGCGCGCGCUUCGGCGCCGCCGAGGACACUUAAACUCUUUGUUUUUAUAAGCAUUUCUGAGUGGCCGAAAGGCAAAAAUACAAAUGAAUCAAAACUUUCAACAACGGAUCUCUUGGUUCUG